rnacentral:rRNA from 1 species
UAGGGAAUCUUCCACAAUGGACGAAAGUCUGAUGGAGCAACGCCGCGUGAGUGAAGAAGGGUUUUGGCUCGUAAAACUCUGUUGUUAAAGAAGAACAUAUCUGAGAGUAACUGUUCAGGUAUUGACGGUAUUUAACCAGAAAGCCACGGCUAACUACGUGCCAG